UUUCUUUUUUAAUUUUUAUUUCUAUUUUGACAUUGACAAUGCCAGUCAUUUUUGAUAGGCACUGUUGCUUUCAGAGAAUAGAAAACCCUUCCUAAUUCACAAGCCCUCUCAUUUCAUUAAACAUACCUACACUAUAUUUUGAUGGAGACCAACGAGAGGUGCUCUCUUUUGGUUGUUCAAAAUCUCUAAGCAUUAUCACAGAUGUAACUGUCCAACCACUACAGUGAUUUGGGACACCACCCAGACAGGAGUGUUUUAAAAAGCAGGUAGGUGAAUAAAGUAAUUGAUAACGUUUACAACUGCUAUCACAAUCACGUAUCAAAGAAUGUUAAUGCUACGCUUCAGUCCAAAGAAGCAUAUUGGACUGAACACAGGUAUGGGACAAGUACUUCCUUAAAUGCUUUGCUGAAAUAGAGCCAUAAAACAGAACAUGCCCCUUUUCCAGAAAAUCCUGGACAAAAUUGGUUAAGAGCUUCAAGCUAUUUAAACCUAUUUGAGAAAAUAAUCUGCUCACCUUCAGAGAAAAAUUAUCAACCAAAGGGUCUAUCAUGCCUAUCAUAUUUUUAAACCAGAAGAAACACGUUUUUUUUUCUUUUUUCAAAGGCAAGCUACGUUAUUUGAAACACUUGCUGCAAAAAAAAAUUCACCCAGAAAACUAAAGCCACAUCCUGCCUUAGUGUGUUCUGCAACAACUCUCAUAACUACCACUGACAUAGCUAUUACAUGGGAAUCCUCAUCCCCAGGAACACCAAAGACUGGUGGAGCAAGAAGAUGAAACUCUCAGUUUUCCCCAUCUGCUUCUAGAUUUAGUGCGCGACUUCAGGAAAGUUCUGUUCCCUACCUUGGACCCUUGUGAGAAGUAAGUAAGGACCAUACACCUAAAAUCUACUCUGCAGGAACUUCCAGGAUCAUCUGCUCUGGAAAAAAAAAUAGGUCUAAAGACUAUUUCUGAAGUUUUCCAUCAGUUUGUUAGACACACAGUUACGCUGAUGGGAAAUAAGUAGAGAUUGUGCAAAACCUUCACUUCUCACUUCUUCAUGUUAUAAAAGAAAGCCCAGCUGGCACAUAGUGCCACUUUCUUCAUACUGCCCCUCACCCUGCACACACACUGCGACUGGCUGAAUGCAAUACAGUGCAGCUCUAAGCGACAGACAUACUCACCGUAAACCACAG
rnacentral:lncRNA from 1 species